UUGAUCUUCCGUUAAUUUUAAUCGACCAAAAUUUUCAAAUAAAAAUUAACACGGUUAGUAACGAUGCAAACCAGACUGAUGUGACAUUCAUUUCACGGGUAAAGAAUGCCUAGUGAGAUGGCACAUUAAAUUUUCUUUUUAAAAUUAAAUUAAAUAUAAAUAUAAAAUAAAAUAUUUCCUAACAACGCCUAAAAGUAAAUUAAAAACUAAAAAAAUUAGAUCCUAACCUUCCUGUAUCGACUUCCAAGUUCCAACCCAAGGAGAGACCUCCACCGCCGCCGGGUUACCACCUAUCGAUGGAGUUCCCCUCUCUCUGUCUCUCUUUCUCUCUCUCUAGCUGCAGCAACCGACCGUCGCCAUAAACCCACCAAUUCCCUCUUCUGUAACUCGCAUGGAUUGUAGGCUGGAGGGAGAACAAUCCCUCUCCUCGUGCUCUUACCCAAAAUCGGCCAUUGCUUUACGAAUUCGUCAUAGCCAACAACCUCUUUCCCAUCCCGAUUCCUCCUCUCAAUUUGAACACAUACUCCAGCUGAAAUUGAAAAUAUAAAUAGUGAACCCUAAAAAUUGAGCCCUAGUUGAUUGUUUAACAUUACUGAUUUCUUCAAAGAGGGAUAGAUCUGAAUUCGGAUUUCAAAGAAGGAUAGUGUGGAGCAUGGUCAUUGUUGGAAGUUGGCGCGUGGAUUCUUG
rnacentral:lncRNA from 1 species